UACGUAGGGGGCUAGCGUUGUCCGGAAUCAUUGGGCGUAAAGCGCGUGUAGGCGGCCCGGUAAGUCCGCUGUGAAAGUCGGGGGCUCAACCCUCGGAUGCCGGUGGAUACUGUCGGGCUCGAGUACGGAAGAGGCGAGUGGAAUUCCUGGUGUAGCGGUGAAAUGCGCAGAUAUCAGGAGGAACACCAAUUGCGAAGGCAGCUCCGCUGG
rnacentral:rRNA from 1 species